CGUAAUAGCUCACUGGUCGAGCGUCUCUGCGCGGAAAAUUUAACGGGGCUAAGAUACAAACCGAAGCUUAGGCUGCACGUAAGUGCGGGGUAGGGGAGCGUUGUGUAAGCGGAGAAACAGUAGCGUAAGCGGCUGUGGAGUUUACAGAAGUGAGAAUGCCGGAAUGAGUAGCGCGAAUGUGGUGAGAAUCCACAUGGCCGGAAACCUCAGGUUUUUGGAGGAAGGUUCGUCCGCUCCAAGUUAGGCGGGAGCUAAGGUCAGGCCGAAAGGCGUAGCCGAUGCACAGACGGUAGAGAUUCCGUCCCCACCGAAAGAUUUAAGCACAGGGACACUUUUUGAAGGUCGGAGCCAGGUGUUGGUUCUGGUAGUGAUCGAGGGAAAUAUAGUACCGAAGUCCGGCUGGAGGAGAGGCGAGAAAAGCUGUGUGUAUAUCUAAGGUGCCCGUACCGCAAACCGACACAGGUAGGUAGGAAGAAGAUUCUAAGGCCAACGGGAGAAGGGUUGUUAAGGAACUCGGCAAGUUGACCCCGUAACUUCGGAAUAAGGGGUGCUCAUGAAAGUGAGCCGCAGAGAAUAGGCCCAGGCAACUGUUUACCAAAAACACAGGUUUGUGCUAAAUCGAAAGAUGACGUAUACGAGCUGACGCCUGCCCGGUGCUGGAAGGUUAAAAGGAGAUGUGCAAGCAUUGAAUUGAAGCCCCAGUGAACGGCGGCCGUAACUAUAACGGUCCUAAGGUAGCGAAAUUCCUUGUCAGGUAAGUUCUGACCCGCAUGAAAGGCGUAAUGAUCUGGGCACUGUCUCAACAGCCCGCCCGGCGAAAUUGUAGUACCGGUGAAGAUGCCGGUUACCCGCGACAAGACGGAAAGACCCCAUGGAGCUUUACUGUAGCCUGAUAUUGGGUUUCGGUGUUGCAUGCACAGGAUAGAUGGGACGCUGGGAAAGAGUCGCUUUGGCGAUUCUGGAGCGGACGUUGGGAUACCAUCCUUGCGACAUUGGAAUUCUAACCUGCGCCUCUGAAUCGAGGCGGGGGACAUUGUCAGGUGGGCAGUUUGACUGGGGCGGUCGCCUCCUAAAAAGUAGCGGAGGCGUUCAAAGGUUCGCUCAGCUUGGACGGAAACCAAGCUAGAGAGUGCAAACGCAAAAGCGAGCCUGACUGCGAGACUGACGGGUCGAGCAGAGACGAAAGUCGGAGUUAGUGAUCCGGUGGUAUGUGAGUGGAAAUGCCAUCGCUCAACGGAUAAAAGUUACCCUGGGGAUAACAGGCUGAUCUCCCCCAAGAGUCCACAUCGACGGGGAGGUUUGGCACCUCGAUGUCGGCUCAU
rnacentral:rRNA from 1 species